CUACGGGCGGCACCAGUGGGGAAUAUUGGGCAAUGGGCGAAAGCCUGACCCAGCAACGCCGCGUGAUUGAAGAAGGUCUUCGGAUUGUAAAAAUCUGUCCUUGGGGACGAAAAAAAUGACGGUACCCAAGGAGGAAGCCCCGGCUAACUACGUGCCAGCAGCCGCGGUAAUACGUAGGGGGCGAGCGUUGUCCGGAAUUACUGGGCGUAAAGGGUGCGCAGGCGGCGCUUUAAGUCAGAUGUGAAAUACCCAGGCUUAACCUGGGGGGUGCAUUUGAAACUGGAGUGCUUGAGUGCAGGAGAGGAAAGUGGAAUUCCUAGUGUAGCGGUGAAAUGCGUAGAUAUUAGGAGGAACACCAGUGGCGAAGGCGACUUUCUGGACUGUAACUGACGCUGAGGCACGAAAGCGUGGGGAGCAAACAGGAUUAGAUACCCGUGUAGUC
rnacentral:rRNA from 1 species